rnacentral:pre_miRNA from 1 species
CUAGUACUCCCUCCGUCCUAAAAUUCUUGUCUUAGAUUUGUCUAAAUACGGAUAUAUCAAAUCACAUUUUAGUAUUAGAUACAUCCGUAUCUAGACAAAUCUAAGACAAGAAUUUUAGGACGGAGGGAGUAUGUG